rnacentral:lncRNA from 1 species
AAAAAAAAAGCAAGUAAAAAAAAGAGAAGCGCCUGAACCGAGAAAAAAAAGAGGUUCGUGGUUUCUUAGAAGGAUUGAACUACCUUUCACGGUUCAUAUCUCAUCUAACGGCCACGUGUGAACCUAUAUUCAGAUGAAAAAAGAUCAAACGGUCAGGCGAAAUAAUGAUUGCCAAGGGGCAUUGAAAAAGUAAAAAGAAUAAAUUGCGGGAACCUCUGAUUCUGUCGUCUCCCUAGGGAGAGAGACUAUUAAUCUGGUACUUGAUGGCCUUCGAAGGGUCUAUAGGGUGUAUUGGGUCAGCAUGACGCGUCUUGUCGAAAAG